ACGAAGCCACGUUGAGACCGGAGCAGGCAUGUGCUUCGCUGCUUCAGCUCAAUUUUCCAGAAAUUUCAACAAUGAAAUUGUAGGUAAAUGAAACAAGUUGUGGUUUUAAACUUUUAAUAUUCAUUGUGUUAGAUGUUUAAUUUUCAGUUUGUUGGGAUAUGGUUCUUGGAAACAACAAAAUGGGUUGGUGAAAUCACUUCUACACCAAACACGCAAGACUUUGAAA
rnacentral:lncRNA from 1 species